CUUGGUCAUUUAGAGGAAGUAAAAGUCGUAACAAGGUUUCCGUAGGUGAACCUGCGGAAGGAUUAUUAACGAGUUUUGAAACGGGUUGUAGCUGGCCUUCCGAGGCAUGUGCACACCCUGCUCAUCCACUCUACACCUGUGCACUUACUGUAGGUUGGCGUGGGCUCCUUCACGGGAGCAUUCUGCCGGCCUAUGUAUACUACAAACACUAAAGUAACAGAAUGUAAACGCGUCUAACGCAUCUUAAUACAACUUUUAGCAACGGAUCUCUUGGCUCUCACAUCGAUGAAGAACGCAGCGAAAUGCGAUAAGUAAUGUGAAUUGCAGAAUUCAGUGAAUCAUCGAAUCUUUGAACGCACCUUGCGCUCCUUGGUAUUCCGAGGAGCAUGCCUGUUUGAGUGUCAUGGAAUUCUCAACCCUUAAAUCCUUGUGAUCUAUGGGCUUGGACUUGGAGGCUUGCUGGCCCUAGUGGUCGGCUCCUCUUGAAUGCAUUAGCUUGAUUCCGUACGGAUCGGCUCUCAGUGUGAUAAUUGUCUACGCUGUGACCGUGAAGUGUUUUGGCAAGCUUCUAACCGUCCAUUAGGACAAUCUUUUAACAUCUGACCUCAAAUCAGGUAGGACUACCCGCUGAACUUAAGCAUAUCAAUAAGCGGAGGAAAAGAAACUAACAAGGAUUCCCCUAGUAACCGCGAGUGAAGCGGGAAAAGCUCAAAUUUAAAAUCUGGCGGUCUUUGGCCGUCCGAGUUGUAGUCUGGAGAAGCGUCUUCCGCGUUGGACCGUGUACAAGUCUCUUGGAACAGAGCGUCAUAGAGGGUGAGAAUCCCGUCUUUGACACGGACUACCAAUGCUUUGUGAUGCGCUCUCAAAGAGUCGCGUUGUUUGGGAAUGCAGCGCAAAAUGGGAGGUGAAUUCCUUCUAAAGCUAAAUAUUGGCGAGAGACCGAUAGCGAACAAGUACCGUGAGGGAAAGAUGAAAAGCACUUUGGAAAGAGAGUUAAACAGUACGUGAAAUUGCUAAAAGGGAAACGCUUGAAGU
rnacentral:rRNA from 1 species